UACAGAGGGUGCGAGCGUUAAUCGGAUUUACUGGGCGUAAAGGGCGCGUAGGUGGCAAAGCAAGUAAGAUGUGAAAGCCCUGGGCUUAACCUGGGAAGUGCAUCUUAAACUGCUUAGCUAGAGUAUGGUAGAGGGUAGUGGAAUUUCCGGUGUAGCGGUGAAACGCGUAGAGAUCGGAAGGAACGCCAGUGGUGAAGACGACUACCUGGACCAAUACUGACUCUGAGGCGCGAAAGCGUGGGGAUCAAACAGG
rnacentral:rRNA from 1 species